ACCCGGGGCCCGGUCUGCACCGAGGGACGGACGUGCGGAGCUGGUCCCGGGAGA
rnacentral:precursor_RNA from 1 species